UGAGGAAUUUUCCGCAAUGGGCGAAAGCCUGACGGAGCAAUACCGCGUGAAGGAAGAAGGCCCGAGGGUUGUAAACUUCCUUUCUCAGAGAAGAAGAUCUGACGGUAUCUGAGGAAUAAGCACCGGCUAACUCUGUGCCAGCAGCCGCGGUAAUACAGAGGGUGCGAGCGUUAUCCGGAAUGAUUGGGCGUAAAGCGUCUGUAGGUGGUUUUUGAAGUCUACUGUUAAAUCCCAGGGCUCAACCUUGGACAGGCAGUAGAGGACUCAAAGGCUAGAGUGCGGUAGGGGUAGAGGGAAUUCCCGGUGGAGCAGUGAAAUGCACAGAGAUCGGGAAGAACACCAGUGGCGAAGGCGCUCUACUGGGCCGAGACUGACACUGAGAGACGACAGCUAGGGGAGC
rnacentral:rRNA from 1 species